rnacentral:rRNA from 1 species
UACAGAGACUGCAAGCGUUAUUCGGAUUCACUGGGCGUAAAGGGUGCGCAGGCGGCCAAGUGUGUGAGGCGUGAAAGCCUGGAGCUUAACUCCAGAAUUGCACCUCAAACUACAUGGCUAGAGCAUUGGAGAGGGUAGCGGAAUUCACGGUGUAGCAGUGAAAUGCGUAGAUAUCGUGAGGAACACCAGAGGCGAAGGCGGCUACCUGGACAAUUGCUGACGCUCAGGCA